GGAGUUUUAUGGUUUUUAAAUGAGUGUAAAUAUCAUUCUAGUGCACCUUGUUUUGAAUAGUUCGUAUUUUGAGUGAUUGGUAUACCCUAUUUUAAAUUAUAUGUAUUGAUUUAAGGAAAUUGAUUAUUGAUCGAGUGGUUUUAGUCCGUAUUUCAAAGGAAACUCUGUCAAAAUUCUUUUAAAAAUUCAUCACAGUCAAAGCAGGUCAAGGUUGCUUUGAUAAUGGGUUCGACACUUAGCUGAUAUCUACCAUUGGUGCACGACAUAUGUCGGGUCCAUUAGGGUGAUUCAGAAUGGGUCAUGUCAACCCACCACAAUCUUGAUCUCUUUUGUAUUUGAUGUUCUUUUCCAGGUGCUAUCAAGUAGUUUAUCAUGAUUCUAACAAUAUCAAAAUAACAAAACUUUUGUAAUGAUUAAACUCAACAUGGACGAUGAAGAUAUGCUUGGAGGAGAUCCGAAUUUUGAAAUUUAUUACGCAAUGCUUUGUACUAGGUAUUUCUUGUAUUCAUGCACUAAUUCUCUUAUGUAGAAACUUCUCUAGUUUAUGUUUCAACAAUAUUUAAGAUAUUGAAAACAAGAACAUUACAAAUCUGAUGAGGGUUACAUGCUUGUACGAGAUUAUGUGCAUACCUAUUGGGAUGAGUACAUCAUGCUUGAGGAGAUGGUUAUCCACUAUUGAACGAGAUGGUACUUGCAAAAUAUUAUAAUAAACUUGUCAAGUUGAAUAAAGGUCAAGUGUUUGUAAAAGAUGCCAGAUGUUGAGAUGGAUUUAAAAGUUAUGGAUAUAUUCCACUUGCAAAAGUUGAGAGGAAUGAUUAGUCAUUGUCCAUGGAUUUGUAUUAUGGAUCGACCAUUCAAGUUGACAAGAUAUCAACUAUUGAAGAUGAGCGUAAAGAGCAUGCCUAAAAAGAACCAAACAAAGAAGUGCG
rnacentral:lncRNA from 1 species